UGCAAGCAAAGGGUAGGAGCAGCCCUAGAAGAAGGCACACAUUCAUUCCUCGGGUUGCAGCCUGUUUACAGAGGGAGAGAAUCUCUGCUGCAGUUACCCAGCAUCCAGGGGUCCAUGCUCUGCCAGCGUCACUCAGCCACGUGAGAUGGGGUGAUUGGACCAAAGGAGAUACAUGGUGUUUUAUUUAGUGAUGGGAACAAGCACAGAGAACAUUUUCACCAUGGAUAUGUAUGUACUUGUAAGAAGCAGCUGGGUGGUUCCUUCAGCAAUCUGCUGAGCUGUGGCGAUUACAUCACACACUGGUGCAAAGGCCUUGAACCAUUAAUGUGCUGCCUCUGCGAGGGUGACCAGGAUUCCAG
rnacentral:lncRNA from 1 species